UACGUAGGGGGCAAGCGUUGUUCGGAUUUACUGGGCGUAAAGGGCGCGUAGGCGGCGCGUAAAGUCGGUCAUGAAAUCAUUGGGCUUAACCCAAUGGCUGUGCCCGAUGCUUGCGUGCUUAGAGGGCGGGAGAGGCAAUCGGAAUUCUCGGUGUAGCGGUGAAAUGCGUAGAUAUCGAGAGGAACUCCAGUGACGAAGGUGGGUUGCUGGACCGACACUGACGCUGAGGCGCGAAAGCUAGGGGAGCAAACGGG
rnacentral:rRNA from 1 species